AAAUUGAAGAGUUUGAUCAUGGCUCAGAUUGAACGCUGGCGGCAGGCCUAACACAUGCAAGUCGAGCGGAAACGAGUUAUCUGAACCUUCGGGGGACGAUAACGGCGUCGAGCGGCGGACGGGUGAGUAAUGCCUAGGAAAUUGCCCUGAUGUGGGGGAUAACCAUUGGAAACGAUGGCUAAUACCGCAUGAUGCCUACGGGCCAAAGAGGGGGACCUUAGGGCCUCUCGCGUCAGGAUAUGCCUAGGUGGGAUUAGCUAGUUGGUGAGGUAAGGGCUCACCAAGGCGACGAUCCCUAGCUGGUCUGAGAGGAUGAUCAGCCACACUGGAACUGAGACACGGUCCAGACUCCUACGGGAGGCAGCAGUGGGGAAUAUUGCACAAUGGGCGCAAGCCUGAUGCAGCCAUGCCGCGUGUGUGAAGAAGGCCUUCGGGUUGUAAAGCACUUUCAGUCGUGAGGAAGGCGGCGUCGUUAAUAGCGGCAUCGUUUGACGUUAGCGACAGAAGAAGCACCGGCUAACUCCGUGCCAGCAGCCGCGGUAAUACGGAGGGUGCGAGCGUUAAUCGGAAUUACUGGGCGUAAAGCGCAUGCAGGUGGUUUGUUAAGUCAGAUG
rnacentral:rRNA from 1 species